ACUGCCCGGCCGGAGUAGGCAGGUGCGCCCGCUUUGUAGACGUCUAUGAGGCGGUACGGAGAGGUGGGAGCGCGG
rnacentral:misc_RNA from 1 species